rnacentral:rRNA from 1 species
AUUGCCCCAGUAACGGCGAGUGAAGCGGCAGGAGCUCAAAUUUGAAAUCUGGGGUCCCCGACCUCCGAGUUGUAAUUUGGAGAGGCAACUUCGGGGGGGAGCGCCGGCCCAUUUUCCUUGGAACAGGACGUCACAGAGGGUGAGAAUCCCGUGCCAGGCUGGCUCACUCCUCCCGCGUGGAGCGCCUUCGACGAGUCGAGUUGUUUGGGAAUGCAGCUCCAAGUGGGUGGUAAGUUUCAUCUAAAGCUAAAUACCGGCGGGAGACCGAUAGCGCACAAGUAGAGUGAUCGAAAGAUGAAAAGCACUUUGAAAAUAGAGUCAAAAAGUACGUGAAAUUGUUGGAAGGGAAGCGCUUGAGACCAGACUCAGGCCCGGGCAAACACCGCGCCCCCCGGGGACGUGCAAUUGCCCGGGCCUGGGCCAGCAUCGGUCGGCGCGGCGGGACAAAGGCGCUGGGAAUGUGGCUCCCCUCGGGGAGUGUUACCAGCCCGGCGCUCAAUGCCGCCGACGCCGACUGAGGACCGCGCCUAGGCUAGGAUGCUGGCGUAAUGGCCUUCAGCGACCCGUCUUGAAACACGGACCAAGGAGUCUAACAUCUAUGCGAGUGUUUGGGAGCCAAACCCUUGCGCGGAAUGAAAGUGAACGGAGGUGGGAACCCCCCCUCCUCGGGGGGGGCGCACCAUCGACCGAUCCUGAUGUCUUCGGAUGGAUUUGAGUAGGAGCAUA